CUCCCAGGUCCAGAAGAACUAUGAAGAGGGAGAAGCAGAGAGAGGCGCGUCGGCAUAGUCUGAGAUUGCUUGGGAAGGACCUGGGGGAGGAGGAGCCUCUGCAACUGCCUCAUAGGGACAAGACCUACCAAGAAGAGUUGCUGUGCUCCUUACGCCUGUCUCCCCUGAGCAGGCCUUGUUUCUGCUAAUAAAGUAUUAACGCCACAUACUCCAUGUGAUUUAUUGCUGGGUGGCUGCCUGACAUUGGCAGAGCUUAUCCAAUGCUCCUGUUGGUGCACUUGCACUGGAUCAACCAUCUCACCCCUCACCCUCUCCUCAGAAAGCAGCAGCAUCCCACUUGCAGAAGAAGCUAAUGUUAACAGUUUUGCCCUACCCAGCAAGCUGCUUCUGCUUAUUAUUGUUUCCUGUUGACGCAAUAUGCCACAGCGGCUUAUCUAUGUAGCUCUAGGUUGAUAAAACAGCCUGCUUCCAAUUUAUCAUGCAUCUAAUGGAACCUUUGCUGAUAAAGCCACCUCUUGUCAAUGCAAGGAACUCAAAUCACCUCCUGUAUAAUAUAUGGGGCCUAUAUCUUGGGGUGACGUUGCUCUGAGAACAGUGGGGUGGGGUGGGGAAAGAAAUGAGUAAUAGCAGGUUAAUAUGACAGUUUUGGUCCUUUAGUGGUCAGGCGAAGGGAAGGGGGAAAGGAAGUAUUUGGCAGGUGGAACUGGCUGGGAGCAAAAGGGGAAUCUAGAAGAAUGAGAGGGAGGUGUUCAGUGAGCUUUGCUGUCAUGUAAGUGGGUGCACGAUUUGAAUCUUCGUUUACUCUAUGUUAAAUAAUAGGUCAUAAUGCAGCCACCAUUUAAGUAUCAUGAUGCUUUUGAAUUAUGGUGCUGGAGGAGACCCUUGAGAGUCCCAUGGACUGCAAGAAGAACAAACCUAUCCAUUCUUAAGGAAAUCAGCCCAGAGUGCUCACUGGAAGGACAGAUCCUGAAGCUGAGGCUCCAAUACUUUGACCACCUCAUGAGAAGAGAAGACUCCCUGGAAAAGACCCUUGUGUUGGGAAAGAUGGAGGGCACAAGGAGAAGGGGACGACAGAGGACGAGAUGGUUAGACAGCAUUCUCGAAGCUGCAAACAUGAGUUUGACCAAACUGCGGGAGGCAGUGGAAGACAGGAGUGCCUGGCGUGCUCUGGUCCAUGGGGUCACGAAGAGUCGGACACGACUAAACGACUAAACAACUAAACAACAACAAUGCAGCCACCAUUUAAGCACUUUGAAAAUCCACAGUCUUCAGUGAUAAAAGCUGUUGUGUACUUAAUUCCAC
rnacentral:lncRNA from 1 species